GGGUCUUGGGAAUGCACUGGUUCGGCGUGCGCUUCAGCCGUCUGGAAACAGCCCUCUCUGGUCAGCCCGCUCCCCUCCUGCUUCCCCCCUCCCCAUGGUUGUUUGCCCAGCGGCAAAGCGGGCUCUUCCAGGAAUUGCAGGAUGUGGGUGUGUGAGAGGACACGACGUGGGAGGGGAACUGGGUCGAAAUAAAGCAACCUAUAGCCUCUUAUUUGGAGAAUCAUCAUCAUCAGUGAGAAAUAUUUCAAAUCCACUGGCGGGAAGGUGUUGGAGCCUGAGACUGGAAACCCAGUGGCCAGCCUCUGCAGGAAGAAAUGGGCGGGGCUAGCUUCUGCUGGAGCCAAUCCUGCCCCCUGGCGCUCAGAACUGAACUUGCUGUGGACCAAGGAAUUUUCAGCACCUAUAUUCGUGGACAGCUACCAUGGGCCUGAUCAGUCAGGACUAGUCUGGAGUAGUCUAGGUGCGGAUUCCCCAACCCAAGCAAGCAGAGGGGUUUGUCAGCGGAAUGGGGAUCGCCCCCCUCUCUUUAUUACCUUUACCCCAUGCAAUUCUGGUCUAUAGUCCACAGUUUUCAUUAAUCUCGCAUCGAAAUGGCCCAUUAAAUUGUGUCUCGCCACCCUUUAAAACGGAGAAAAUAGGAAGGGGGAGAGGGCAGUAGAGAGAUCCCAGCUCAACAGCGCCGACCCUUAACGAGAGAGCGCGUUGCAGCUGCUAUUGAUUGAAAUUUGUCAGGGUGAUUCCCAACUCUGCAAGAAUUCCUUCUUGGUUUUUUUGCAUGCAGCCCCCAAUUCAUACAUACAUACAUACAUACAUACACACACACAGACAGCGCUACACCCUCAACCCCUACUCAGUCUCAUUCUCCCACUUACAAAAGGGCAAAAAGGCAGCCAAGAAUGCAUCCCGAGCAUGCACAAAGUAAGCAUCAGCUUGUACUUACAGUCUACUGCAUGCACACGAAAUAAUAUUACUUACCCAAACGGGAACUCCUUAAGA